rnacentral:rRNA from 1 species
GAUCCGUGGCUCAGGACGAACGCUGGCGGCGUGCUUAACACAUGCAAGUCGAACGAGGUCCAGGAGAGCUUGCUCUCUGAAGACCUAGUGGCGAACGGGUGAGUAACACGUGAGAAACCUGCCUCGGAUGGGGAAUAACUCGGGGAAACUCGAGCUAAUACCGCAUACCUUCACAUGGUCGCAUGGCCGAGUGAAGAAAGAAUUUCGCUCUGAGAGGGUCUCGCGGCCUAUCAGCUUGUUGUGGGGUAACGGCCCACCAAGGCAACGACGGGUAGCUGGUUUGAGAGAACGAUCAGCCACACUGGGACUGAGACACGGCCCAGACUCCUACGGGAGGCAGCAGUGGGGAAUCUUGCGCAAUGGGCGAAAGCCUGACGCAGCAACGCCGCGUGCGGGGUGAAGGCCUUCGUGGUUGUAAACCGCUUUCAGCAGGGACGAAAAUGACGGUACCUGCAGAAGAAGCUCCGGCUAACUACGUG